GGAGCAGUCCACAGCAGAGGGAAAGGAGGAGUGAGUGUAUUCACCCAGCUCCCUCCUGUGUCUUAUUUCUCAUUGUUCAAGGCUUACUCCCUAGGGGGCUCACUCCCACACUCUAGAUCUUGUCAUCUGGCUACACAGGAGCUAAUUCCCACUCGACUUAGUGUUUCAUCUGAGUCUGAAAGUGGAGGGGCAACUCAGCAUGGGUCAGACACCAACCGAGAGAGAAAGAAGGAAGGAGUCAGGAACCUGAAAUAGAACAAGUCCAUCUGCAGUCUUGGAUUUUCUCUGAGUUCUUCUGAAUAAGAAGUCAACAUUCCAUUGUUGCCCAAAUAAACAGAAGUGGAUGCACUAUUGUGAGAAGGAGUGGAACCAGAUGAAACAUAAACCAUAAAUCUCCUCUGCCUGGUCAGAUCAGGCCAACUGGGAACCUUCCAGCAGAUAAUGGUGCAUCAUGCCCCAUUAUGUACUGGCCCUUGCUUUGCCUUCUGCAUUGGCCCUCCGCAGCAACAUACAGGACCCCGAAGAACCACAGCCAAUGAAUGCGGCAGGGGGAAGGGCGUAGGGUGCAGUUUCAGGAGCAGCAGAGCUGUGAGAGCAGAGAAGGAAGUACUCAGGGCGAGAAACAAUGACUGAAGAAAAGCCAGAGUGAAUUCCUGAGACGGAAGGUUUUCCAUCCGGAGCUUCAGCUGGAUUGCAGUCACAGUGAAGUGAGUAAAUCCCUGUGAUGUCACCAAAACAAAUACCCGGGAGAUUCGCAAACUACCUGCUCCAAGUCAACACUCCCACUCUGGUUUCCUGGGCCACAGAGCAGGACAGACAGAAAAUUCAGAGGGACAAUGAGAAGAUAUUCAACACAGGAGAACUCUCUUUAGUGGGAAAAAUGCUUCAAUGAGCACCUUGAGAUGGAUGGAGAUGAGGGAAGAAGAUGAGGACAGAGAAGGGAGGCGUGGCGGAGAGAACAAGUGUAUCUACUGUACGCAGUGUAGCUUCUCCCCAAGGACUACAGACUUUCAGCAGUUCCACACAUCCCUGAGUAGAUCCAUGGAAAAGAAUACUUCAAGAAAACAAAUGCUGAUUUUUCAUGAGUAAAAUGUUCCUGUUCCUUCUUGUUUUCAACUAAGACACAAGUAGAUUGCUGAGCUACAACAUGGAAAAUUUGAGCAUUUUGAAAAGGCUGGAGCUUUCAAAAUACCACCAAUAUAACUAAAGUUUAUUGUCUAUAACCAUCUACUGUCCCACAUGCUUAUCUGGAAAGGCGUGCCCUGCAAAGGAUGUGGAACCGUAAAAGGCAAUUGUCCUUGGUAGAGACAACAGCUUCCUGGAAUUCAACAGUCCUGUUUCCUGUAAUUUUCAUCUUUGGGAAAACCAUUAUUUCUAUGAGAUGUGACAUUUAUUUAUGGUAUUGUUUUUUAAAAAAUUGUCUAACUUGAGCCAUUUUCUAAUACCUACAUAAGGACAAAAUUAU
rnacentral:lncRNA from 1 species